CGCGGUAACGCGACCGAUCCCAGAGAAGCUGGCGGGAGCCCCGGGGCGAGUUCUCUUUUCUUUGUGAAGGGCAGGGCGCCCUGGAAUGGGUUCGCCCCGAGACAGGGGCCCAAGCCCUGGAAAGCGUUGCGGUUCCGGUGGCGUCCGGUGAGCUCUCGCUGGCCCUUGAAAAUCCGGGGGAGA
rnacentral:ncRNA from 1 species